rnacentral:SRP_RNA from 1 species
GCUAGGUGUGGUAGCGUAUAACUAUAACAAUCCCAGCUACUGGGGAGGCUGAGGCUGAUGGAUCUUUUGAGUUCAGUAGUUCUGGGCUGCAGUGGGCUAUUCCAAUCCAGUGUCUGAACUAAGUUGGGUAUCAAUAUGAUGAGUCCCUAGAAGUGGGGGCCACCAUGUGGCUUAAGGAAGGUUAAACUGUCCCAGAUUGAAAACUGAGCAGAUCAAAGAUCCAGUGCCAAUUAGUAGGAAUGAGCCCAUGAGUAAACCUGGCAUUUAUAGCUUGAGCAAGAUAUGGAGACA